CUUAUAUUUAACAUAAUCAUAUUUAACAUCAAAAAUUCUCAAAACGUACGUACUGCUAUAAGGCUAUAUGGUAAAUAAUUAAAUAUCAUGAGAGGGCUUUCUUUGUGGUCGUCGCCUUGUUCCAGUCGAGCCGGCCUGAACUAACGCGGAUAUUCUACCUGUAAUUUGCAGUCGCCGACCGUGGUGGAACCGAACUGCCAAAGACGAUCGGAUAAUUUUCAAUAGAUGGUCAGAGGAUAUUUCAGAGGGGCGCACAAAUAACUCGCAUCGAGUUCAAAUGAUCAAAAAGACGACCAUUGUUAAAAAUUCUCUGUUUUACUUUUGGAUAGGGAAUACUUGAGCAAAGCCAGGAUUAAAGAGGGCUAGCUUUAACUGAGUACAUGCACAUUUUUCAGUCGUUCCCUGUCAUCCAUCGCCAUGAAACAAAAUCUUGCCUCGCUGCUUUAUUACGCGUGUAAUUGGUUUACGAUUGUUUGUGACCAAUUUUUUUUCCAUAACUAGCUUAUGUUUAAAAACUACAAGCGGAUGUAUUUAAAAUUAUCAAAUAUAUGAAACAGGCCAAAAUGUUUCAAAGCUUAAGCUAUACGAAAAAAAUUCACAUUGUGUUCACAUAAAAGCAAGCGUUGAAAUGUUGUAUAUUAAUGUAUCAUAUAAUUACUCAGUUUAUUUGGGUUAUUUGAGCUUCAAAUUAAUAAAGCAUACUGUAUUUUUUAUGUCCACCCGGGAAAUAUAAACAGAUAUUUAGUUUGCAUGCACGUUCAU